rnacentral:rRNA from 1 species
AUUGAACGCUGGCGGCAGGCCUAACACAUGCAAGUCGAACGAGUGGCGGACGGGUGAGUAAUGUCUGGGAAACUGCCUGAUGGAGGGGGAUAACUACUGGAAACGGUAGCUAAUACCGCAUACCAUCGGAUGUGCCCAGAUGGGAUUAGCUUGUUGGUGGGGUAACGGCUCACCAAGGCGACGAUCCCUAGCUGGUCUGAGAGGAUGAUCAGCCACACUGGGACUGAGACACGGCCCAGACUCCUACGGGAGGCAGCAGUGGGGAAUUUUGGACAAUGGGGGAAACCCUGAUCCAGCCAUCCCGCGUGUAUGAUGAAGGCCCUAGGGUUGUAAAGUACUUUCAGUCGGGAGGCGUUACCGACAGAAGAAGCACCGGCUAACUCCGUGCCAGCAGCCGCGGUAAUAC